rnacentral:rRNA from 1 species
CGGUGAAAAUGCACUUCCGGUGAAGAUGCCGGAUACCUGUAGUUAGACGAAAAGACCCCAGGAGCUUUACUACAGCUUCGUAUUGGCACUGCGGGAUUCAUGCGUAGCAUAGGUGGGAGACUUUGAAGCAUCGGUUUCGGCUGGUGUGGAGUCGCAAUAUGAAAUACCACUCUUGAAUUUUGCAGUGUCUAACCCCGUUGGGAUCCAACGGGGGACCGUGCGUGGCAGGUAGUUUUGGUGGGGCGCUAUCCUCCUAAAAAGUAACGGAGGAGUCUAUUAAGGUUCUCUAGCCGCGAAUGGAAACCGUGGCGAUAGUGUAAUGGCAUAAGAGAGCUUAACUGCAAGGGGUACAUCCCAAGCAGAUGCGAAAGCAGAGCAUAGUGAACCGAUGGUACGCCUUAGAUGCGGCCAGAGAUUAACGGAUAUAAGUUACCCUGGGGAUAGGUCCUGAAAUAAGGGCCCGUUGUCCUCCCGCGGAGUAAGCAAAGCUUGCUCCCAGCGCUCGUUCGCAAGAGAAAAAUCAGAAUCUUUCUCUUGUCUCGCUCGCUUGGUAGUAAUUCGCGGAUAUAAGAACGGCUUAUAACGGUGAAAACCCAUUGCAAAAUGGAUAAUACCGUGGGAAGUCGGGAAUGUUAGUAUGAAGAAAAGUUUAUGCCAAAAAUAUGAAAAGUAUUAGUCUGACAAGAAAUCAAAAAGCAAUUCUCGUAGGUACUCUUCUUGGUGAUGGGUACUUGCAGAAGACUGGCGAGAAGAACGCGCGGCUUCGAUUAGAGCAUGGCGAGAAGCAGAAGGACUAUGUGCUGUGGAAGAUGCACGCAUUCCCGCGUCUCUUUCAAGGCAAGGCAGUUCAUAUGUACCGCGUGCACCCAAAGACGCUCGCGACAUACGAAUAUUGGCGCGCGCAAUCAAGCUCGUCGCCGGUGUUCGGAACGUGGCGCAAACUGUUUUAUCCAGUCGGCAAAAAGCGCAUACCGGAAAAUCUUUCAAAGAUUCUAACGGAACCGCUCGCGCUCGCUGUGUGGUAUAUGGACGACGGGUAUUACAACCCGAAGGACAAAAACAGCUUCUUGUAUCUUGGCAGAGUGUCUGAAGUGGAGGCGCAGUGCGCGCGUGAUAUGCUUGAAAAGAAUUUUGAGCUUUCAGUGCGCGUGUACGAUAAAAAGAGUAAGGGCUUCGCGCUCUACUUCUCUACAGAAGAGACAAAAAAAUUGCAUAAACUAAUCAGGCGACACAUCGUGUUGCCAACGUUCGCCUAUAAAUUAGGCGACAUUCCUUGACCCCGUAACGACUUGAUUCCUUAUUGGAAUCGGAGCGAUUCACUUUGUCGAACGAGUGAAUCGCUAAGACGCCGUCUCCCUCCCCCGUUUCUGAAACGGGGGAGGGAUGAAGAUAUAGUCUAUUCUUGGAAAAGAUUGAACAGGCUAGUUCCGCCCAAGCGUCCUUAGCGACGGCGGAGUUCGGCACCUCGAUGUCGGCUCACCAUAGCGCGGGGCUGGAGAAGGUCCCAAGCGUUUGGCUGUUCGCCAAUUAAAAUGGUACGCGAGCUGGGUUCAAACCGUUCGGUAGGGAAGGCUCUAGGAAGUUAGGCUUUAGGCUUUAGCUCAAAUGCUAAUGCCUAGCGCCUAGCGCCUAGUUCCCUUAUCUUUCGAACGGUUUGAACCCACGAGGAAUUGUUAGGUGCGUGGAGACGCACUGUGCUUAGACAUACUCACGGCGGUCGCAUAUGGGAACAUAUGCGAAGAAAUCAACUUAUAUCGGUAGAAACCCAUGAGAUGGCGGCUACGCCUAUCUCACGGGUCAAUACCGAGGGAAGAAAAUUGUGAACUUCACAGAGGAACUUGAGACAACCUGUGCGUUAGUGAUUUCGCGGCGCGCGGGAUUACGGGAAGCCUCCGGGCGGGAUCUCAAGAGGGAAAUCCUCUGGUAAGGGAAGCGGCUUAACAACCGUUAUAAAAAUUCCUUUACCUCUUCUGUGAAGUUCACAAUAAUCACCCGUAGAGACUGAAUGUUGAUCAGCGAGAACCGCUGAAGUUACAGUCCGAUCCCGUCAGUAAUGGCGGUGUCAUUGGGAGCUAGAGCCUAAAGCCUAGCGCCUAAUGGCUACUUAGAUGCGUGAGACAGGUUGGUCUCCUAUCUACUACAGGCGUUGAUUCUUGAGGAGGGUUGUCCCUAGUACGAGAGGACCGGGAUGAACUGACCUCUGGUCUACCAGCUGUCCUGCCAAGGGCACCGCUGGGUAGCUAUGU